CCUACGGGUGGCAGCAGUGAGGAAUAUUGGUCAAUGGACGGAAGUCUGAACCAGCCAAGUAGCGUGAAGGAUGACUGCCCUACGGGUUGUAAACUUCUUUUAUAAAGGAAUAAAGUGAGGCACGUGUGCCUUUUUGUAUGUACUUUAUGAAUAAGGAUCGGCUAACUCCGUUCCAACAGCCGCGGUAAUACGGAGGAUCCGAGCGUUAUCCGGAUUUAUUGGGUUUAAAGGGAGCGUAGAUGGGUUGUUAAGUCAGUUGUGAAAGUUUGCGGCUCAACCGUAAAAUUGCAAUUGAUACUGGCAGCCUUGAGUACAGUUGAGGUAGGCGGAAUUCGUGGUGUAGCGGUGAAAUGCUUAGAUAUCACGAAGAACUCCGAUUGCGAAGGCAGCCUACUAAACUGCCACUGACAUUGAUGCUCGAAAGUGUGGGUAUCAAACAGGAUUAGAUACCCCAGUAGUC
rnacentral:rRNA from 1 species